UUUUGUGUACAUCAUCAUAUUUUAAAAAAUACAUGUCAUAGUGCUUAGUCAUAAUUUUUUUUAAUCAGAAUUAACUUGUCGGAGUAAUGACGGAUAAAAUUGUCGGUAACACUUUAUAAUACAGCCCGCGUUUUACGGUGUAACUUCCCAUCACUUACCAUGUAACUUACCGGAAUUUACGGACAGAUGGCUGUACCUGGGGCAGUUAGCCUGCAAGAGCCAGUUGCUCACUCUCUGCAUUCACUAGCUUCAAAUCACCUGCUUCUGUCAUAUUCUCCUGUUAGCCUUGAAACCAUGGAUCAUGUGGACAGAACAACGAUGGCUCUGACAAGCAUCAUUGCCGAGGUGGAUAUAGCUUCAGGAGGGGAAAACUUUGGUGUCUCUAGCCACACUGAAGGGACAACCCUAAAAGAUUUCGCAUUGCAAUUUAAAGGAUUUGUGGAUUCCUGCCCUGCAUAAAAUCAUUCAUGCACUAUGCUGAAGAACAAAAUAAAAAAGACUGCGAAGAACUGAUGAACUCCUCCCACUAAAGUGGCGAUGUAGAAAGAAUAAAGUACCUGAAAAUUGUU